rnacentral:tRNA from 1 species
UGAUCACUGCGCUCGCCUUGCACGCGGGAGACCCGGGUUCGAUUCCCGGCGGGGUCA